rnacentral:lncRNA from 1 species
UGCAGAUAUGUUGACAAAGGUUGUUCCUAUGAAAAAGCUCAUAUUUUGUAGGAAGCACUCCAGAUUGAUCAAAAUGUAGAUGGAGUGGUUGGAGAACAAUGCAUUGUGAUGAAGCUCAUUUGAUGGAUGGAGAUUACUUGAAGGAUGAAGAUUUUGCCUUCAAGUAGGAGAUUGUUGAGCUAAUUACAUUGGGCCUAUUUGUUAUUUGGGCCUUGUUAUUUGGGCUAUGUAAUUUGGUGAAGUCAAAAUCUCCUCUAUAUUUUUUUAUUAUAUAUGUGGGCCCCUAUUUGUAAGCCUUUGGAUCAUAGUUCUUUUGAUCCAAAGGCCCAUAUUAAUAGCUUCUUCUCUUAGGAGCUUAAGUGGGACAUUAGAAUAUUAGAGAGAAAAAAAGAGAGAGAACUAGAGAGCGAGAAAAGAAGUGGGAGAAAAAAGAGAAAAUCCUGGAGCUUGGUUUUGAUCUUAGUUCUAUCAAGAAGGAGGUGGGAUCUUCUUUGUGAGGUGUGGUUUACACCAUUUGAGUAGAACUAGAGAUUGUUGGAGCUCUCUUUUUAUACCUUGGAGUUAAGGUGUUAUUUCUCCCAUUUGAAUCUCUCUUGUAAUCUUCAAGUUUAUAGUGAAAGUUUUUUUUGCAUUGUUCUUCCGUGGAUGUAGGCAUUGCCGAACCACGUAAAUACUUGUGUUCCUGUGGUUUUGUUUAUUUUGUUAUUGUUCUUGUGCUUAGCUCUCAAUUUGAUACUUGCAGAGAGUGGAUUGUGAAAUUGCCCGCCAAAUAUUUGUGAAAUUGCCAUCAAUAUUUUUUCAUCCUCAUUUAACAACACUAAUCCUUUAACCAAUCCAAAUCACUUUCAAAGAUAUCAAUAUGUAUUUAAACGCCAUCAACACUAUAUAAACUUACCAAGUAUCGUAAAUUCAUAUUUUGAGUCUUCGAGUUUUCAAACUUUUCGAUAGUGUUUGGAUUGGGUACAAGAGGGGGGAUAAGGGGGUUAUCCCCCCUCUUGUACCCAAACACUAUUUUUGGUA